UUAGAACAAGUGUCAAAUGGGUAAUGGGUGGAGUUUUAGUGAAAAAAAAAAUGAAAAAAAAAGAAAUUUUUGCGCGUAAUUUUUUUUUUCUUCUUUCUCUUUCGUUGUCUCUCUCGUUAUCAACUAUGGUCAUUGAUCUUAAGCCGAGCUUGGGUCCGGGGCACAAGUAAAGAAAAGAAUCAUCCGCUUUCCGCCUAAUUGGAUCCUCUUGAAUCAUGUAUCUAUGUUUUUGUUGAGGUUAAUUGAAUUUGAAGCAAUGGCGACAAUGGGUUUCUUCUAUUUUUUUGGAUCCGGCAAAAAAUCUUGAUGAUCAGAAAAAAUGUUCAGGUUAGUUUAUAUUCCAAAAAGAUUGAGCUUUUAACAAAUUCCAAUCAGAUUCGGGAAAACUUACUUUGGUGAUUAGCUUCUUGUGUAUUGUAUUUGUAAAUCAUUAGUACCCUUUUAUCUCCAAAAUUCUUGGAUUUUUAGGUUAUCUCAUUAUCUGAUCAGUGUCUGGGGUAACAGAAUAAGUUUAUGUUCUAAAUAUAUCAAGAAUGAGAAAUUGGUGUUCCUAUUAAUCUCUUCUAUAUAUGGUUUACAUGGCUGGAGAAGAUGUGUCUUGAGAGUUGUAAUCUCUAUUAUCAUCUGCUUUUAUUGGAUGUUUUGGAUAAUUUUUUUCAAACAGUAACUUGUUAUUCUGCUGUUGGAAGAGGCCUAUCAAGUGCUAAGUGAUUAUGGAAAACGCCAAGCUUAUGAUGCUUGUGCGAAGUCAGGGAUCUUUACGUUAGUCUCUUUUUCAUUUGUGGAUCUUCUAGUGAACUUUUUGAAGGGUACAUAGGACAGCUUGCUAUGGUAUCAAUGGCUUCACUUGAUAGCUUCACUGAAGGGAACCACAAAGCCCCUACGUAGAAGAAAUCAAACAAAUAUGUGAUAAACAAAGACGAAUUUGUCAGUAAAGCUGAAGGUGAAAUAGCUAGACUCUCAAACGCAUGUAAUAUAUUCUGUGAAGUGUUCUCUGUUUAGUAGUUAUGCUUUCUCUUUCAAUCAAUGCCAUCUCUGUUCUGAAACGAUUCUCACCCUCUUCUAUUUUGAUAUCCUUCAGCUUAUGGUGGAUAUGUUGAAUACAAUUGGGUAUAUAUAUGUAAGACAAGCAACAAAAGAGUUAGGGAAGAAAGCUAAUUAUCUCGAAGUACUAUUAGUUGCUGAAUGAUUUAGGAACAAAUGUCAUUUCAUCAAAUCUCAAUUAACAGCUGCAACAGGUUAGAUUAAAGUCAAAACUAAACUUUUCUUUCAACUUCAAAACUGAAUAUAAAACAAACUUUUCUUUCAACUUCAAAACUGAAUACUGAGGAUUCUUUUUCAUGUUUUGAUUGUAUAUUUUCAUGUUUGCUUGUACUUAAAGCAAGUUUUUGAAAACAAAUGUAAGAACUUUGAAUUAAGAACUUUACCAUUGGAAUUAUAUU